CAACUUUCAGCAACGGAUCUCUUGGCUCUCGCAUCGAUGAAGAACGCAGCGAAUUGCGAUAAGUAAUGUGAAUUGCAGAUUUCCAGUGAAUCAUCGAAUCUUUGAACGCAUCUUGCGCUCCUUGGUAUUCCGAGGAGCAUGCCUGUUUGAGUGUCAU
rnacentral:rRNA from 1 species